CCUAAGGUAGCGAAAUUCCUUGUCGGGUAAGUUCCGACCUGCACGAAUGGCGUAAUGAUGGCCAGGCUGUCUCCACCCGAGACUCAGUGAAAUUGAACUCGCUGUGAAGAUGCAGUGUACCCGCGGCAAGACGGAAAGACCCCGUGAACCUUUACUAUAGCUUGACACUGAACAUUGAGCCUUGAUGUGUAGGAUAGGUGGGAGGCUUUGAAGUGUGGACGCCAGUCUGCAUGGAGCCAACCUUGAAAUACCACCCUUUAAUGUUUGAUGUUCUAACUCUGCCCCAUAAUCUGGGGUGAGGACAGUGUCUGGUGGGUAGUUUGACUGGGGCGGUCUCCUCCCAAAGA
rnacentral:rRNA from 1 species